GAAUUUGCCUGGCGGCACUAGCGCGGUGGUCCCACCUGACCCCAUGCCGAACUCAGAAGUGAAACGCCGUAGCGCCGAUGGUAGUGUGGGGUCUCCCCAUGUGAGAGUAGGGAACUGCCAGGCA
rnacentral:rRNA from 1 species